AACUCUGCAAAACAUAUUGUUAUACUAGGCUUAACAUGCAAAGCAAUGCCAGCAACUACAGCUUGAUCACAUUCACCAUUUUUUAUGGACCAAUAAGCAGUGUGAAGUGCGUUUAAACUGGCAGCACAAGCUGUAUCAACAAUCAUUGUUGGCCCUCUCCAAUCAUAAUGGUAUGAGACUCGUUGAGCGAAAUAUUGCGGCAAAUUAAUUUUAUAGUCCCAUCGGACAGUCAACCCUGUAUCAUCGAAUGCAGAUCCUAGGAAGAAACCAGUUCGUGUUCCUCUCCAUUCUUGGGGUUUUAUUCCUGUAUUUUUCCAUUGCAUGAAGCAAAAAAACGAUUCAAGUGUCAAUGAUUUGAAUGGUCACUACAAAAUCAAGCGUGGGCAACCAUAUCAUAUUUAAACUAUCAUCAUAAUUACCCCGGUAAUUUUUCAAAACUUGAAUGAUUGCACUUACUUUUCGGAUAAGGAACCGUAUCAGGACCAUAAAGGGGUUUUCCAGAGAACAAAUUUUGCCAUAACUCUUCAACACUAUCUGAUUUUGGGAAUCGACCAGAG